rnacentral:tRNA from 1 species
GGGCCCGUAGCUCAGCUGGAUAGAGCGUCGGCCUUCGGAGCCGGAGGUCCCGGGUUCGAGUCCCGGCGGGCCCG